rnacentral:rRNA from 1 species
AGCGAACGCUGGCGGCAGGCUUAACACAUGCAAGUCGAGCGGGCGUAGCAAUACGUCAGCGGCAGACGGGUGAGUAACGCGUGGGAACAUACCUUUUGGUUCGGAACAACCCAGGGAAACUUGGGCUAAUACCGGAUAAGCCCUUACGGGGAAAGAUUUAUCGCCGAAAGAUUGGCCCGCGUCUGAUUAGCUAGUUGGUGAGGUAACGGCUCACCAAGGCGACGAUCAGUAGCUGGUCUGAGAGGAUGAUCAGCCACAUUGGGACUGAGACACGGCCCAAACGCCUACGGGAGGCAGCAGUGGGGAAUAUUGGACAAUGGGCGCAAGCCUGAUCCAGCCAUGCCGCGUGAGUGAUGAAGGCCCUAGGGUUGUAAAGCUCUUUUGUGCGGGAAGAUAAUGACGGUACCGCAAGAAUAAGCCCCGGCUAACUUCGUG